rnacentral:rRNA from 1 species
UGGGGAAUUUUGGACAAUGGGCGCAAGCCUGAUCCAGCCAUGCCGCGUGCGGGAAGAAGGCCUUCGGGUUGUAAACCGCUUUUGUCAGGGAAGAAACGCUCUGGGCUAAUACCCCGGAGUAAUGACGGUACCUGAAGAAUAAGCACCGGCUAACUACGUGCCAGCAGCCGCGGUAAUACGUAGGGUGCAAGCGUUAAUCGGAAUUACUGGGCGUAAAGCGUGCGCAGGCGGCUUUGCAAGACAGAUGUGAAAUCCCCGGGCUUAACCUGGGAACUGCAUUUGUGACUGCAUGGCUGGAGUGCGGCAGAGGGGGAUGGAAUUCCGCGUGUAGCAGUGAAAUGCGUAGAUAUGCGGAGGAACACCGAUGGCGAAGGCAAUCCCCUGG